rnacentral:misc_RNA from 1 species
CUUAGGCAGCUCCCUGAUGAUGCUGCCGGCUCCUCUCCUAAGUGUGAUACUCUGUUCAGGGGAGGAGGCGUCGUCGCCAUCGCCUUCGUACGGUCCCGUGGACGAGAACGACUCCCUCAGACUCAGGUCCUUGGCCAUCUUCCUCCUCCUCAGGCGGCGCCAGGCGUGCUGGAUGAAGCACGCGGCCCAGGUCCUCCAGUGGUGGGAGUAGUACCGGAACGUGUGCUGCAGCUUCCUACUGUGGAGGCGCCUGAACUGGCUGGCGACGAACCUCAGGUCGUCGGCCUGGAGAGCGAACGCCUCGACCUCGAGAACCGCCUUCA